CAAACACGAAAGCUCGAGAAGUGCCCGCGCAAUCUCGGACAGGCAUUCACAGAUUGCGUUCUUGACUGAGCUUCUCGUAUACAGACUAGCACAGAACAAUUAUGCGUCAUAUAGGCAUCUCUAAACAAAUCGCAGAUCCGAAAAUAUCCUUAAUUUUAUGGAAUUCAUAUUUGAAGAUAUAGAAAAGGAAAAUUUCUCUUGUAAUUUUUAUUAUUUUAUCACAAUUUUUCAAUUAUGAAAGAAAAGAUCUUUUGCCAUCAAUAUCGCGGCAAGAGCGAACCUCUGCCUGUGCCAGCAAAAAUCGAAAGAUUCUUCGCCGUUGCAAUUUUCUUCGUAGUAGGAGGUUUACGCGAUGUCCAAUAAGAAAUAAUAAGCCGCGAGUUUAUUUCUUCCCGAAGGACGGACAGAGAGAAAGAAGCCGAUUGAAACCACCCAUCUCCCAUCGGCCUUUUGAAAGAACGCGGACUAUUGCAGGAUACAAUUUCCUCGCAGGAAAUUACGUCUACAAGUCAGGAGAGCGCUUCGCGCUAUUUUCUACGCGCUUUAAAGCACAUGCGAGAGAUCGAUAUUCAUUGUCGUCAUCGCGUUGCUGAUAUAAACGACGGUGUUAAAUGCGAGAAAAAAGAUGUCAGUAUUGAAAAAGUUACUUUAUAAAAAACAAACCGUUACUCAAAAAUGAAAUAGAGUUUUUAAACAAAUAGUAAAAACUAUAAAUUUUUAUUAUUUGUUAAAAACUGUUAUAAAACCGAGUUACAUAUCAAAUGCACACACAUUUACAUACACGUAUACACACAUAUAAACGA